UGGGGAAUAUUGGACAAUGGGCGAAAGCCUGAUCCAGCCAUGCCGCGUGUGUGAAGAAGGUCUUCGGAUUGCAAAGCACUUUAAGUUGGGAGGAAGGGCAGUAAGUUAAUACCUUGCUGUUUUGACGUUACCGACAGAAUAAGCACCGGCUAACUCUGUGCCAGCAGCCGCGGUAAUACAGAGGGUGCAAGCGUUAAUCGGAAUUACUGGGCGUAAAGCGCGCGUAGGUGGUUUGUUAAGUUGGAUGUGAAAGCCCCGGGCUCAACCUGGGAACUGCAUCCAAAACUGGCAAGCUAGAGUACGGUAGAGGGUGGUGGAAUUUCCUGUGUAGCGGUGAAAUGCGUAGAUAUAGGAAGGAACACCAGUGGCGAAGGCGACCACCUGGACUGAUACUGACACUGAGGUGCGAAAGCGUGGGGAGCAAACA
rnacentral:rRNA from 1 species